UACGUAGGUGGCAAGCGUUGUCCGGAUUUAUUGGGUUUAAAGGGUGCGUAGGCGGCCCUAUAAGUCAGUGCUGAAAUAUCCCGGCUUAACCGGGAGGGUGGCAUUGAUACUGAUGGACUUGAGUAAAGUUGAGGUGGGCGGAAUUGACGGUGUAGCGGUGAAAUGCUUAGAUAUCGUCAAGAACACCUAUUGCGAAGGCAGCUCACUAAGCUUUAACUGACACUGAGGCACGAAAGUGUGGGGAUCAAACAGG
rnacentral:rRNA from 1 species